GAUGAACGCUGGCGGCGUGCUUAACACAUGCAAGUCGAACGGAAAGGCCCAAGCUUGCUUGGGUACUCGAGUGGCGAACGGGUGAGUAACACGUGGGUGAUCUGCCCUGCACUUCAGGAUAAGCCUGGGAAACUGGGUCUAAUACCGGAUAGGACCACAUUUUGGAUGGUGUGGUGGAAAGUUUUUCGGUGUGGGAUGAGCUCGCGGCCUAUCAGCUUGUUGGUGGGGUAAUGGCCUACCAAGGCGUCGACGGGUAGCCGGCCUGAGAGGGUGUACGGCCACAUUGGGACUGAGAUACGGCCCAGACUCCUACGGGAGGCAGCAGUGGGGAAUAUUGCACAAUGGGCGCAAGCCUGAUGCAGCGACGCCGCGUGGGGGAUGACGGCCUUCGGGUUGUAAACUCCUUUCGCUAGGGACGAAGCGUUAUGUGACGGUACCUGGAGAAGAAGCACCGGCUAACUACGUG
rnacentral:rRNA from 1 species